rnacentral:rRNA from 1 species
CCCUUAGAUGUUCUGGGCCGCACGCGUGCUACACUGAGUGGAUCAGCGGGUCAGGUUGCGCGAAAGCGUUUCCUAAUCUUUAAAUCCGCUCGUGAUGGGGAUUGACGGUUGCAAUUUUCUGUCAUGAGCGAGGAAUGCCUUGUAAGCGUGAGUCAUCAACUCGCGCUGAAUACGUCCCUGCCCUUUGUACACACCGCCCGUCGCUCCUACUGAUUGGAUGGUCCGGUGAACUGGUCGGACUGAUAAUUGUCACUGCGGGUGCAGUAGCAUUACGGAAAGUCCGGUGAACCUUAUCAUCUAGAGGAAGGAGAAGUCGUAACA